rnacentral:rRNA from 1 species
AUUGAACGCUGGCGGCAGGCCUAACACAUGCAAGUCGAGCGAGCGGCGGACGGGUGAGUAAUGUCUGGGAAACUGCCUGAUGGAGGGGGAUAACUACUGGAAACGGUAGCUAAUACCGCAUACCAUCAGAUGUGCCCAGAUGGGAUUAGCGAGUAGGUGGGGUAAUGGCGCACCUAGGCGACGAUCCCUAGCUGGUCUAAGAGGAUGACCAGAAACACUGGAACUGAGACACGGUCCAGAAUCCUACGGUAGGCAGCAGAGGGGAAUAUUGCGCAAGGGGCGCAAGCCUGAGGCAGCCAUGCGGCGUGUGUGAAGAAGGCAUUCGGGUUGUAAAGCACGUUCAGCGGGGAGGCGUUAACCGCAGAAGAAGCACCGGCUAACUCCGUGCCAGCAGCCGCGGUAAUUC